rnacentral:rRNA from 1 species
GUGGGGAAUAUUGGACAAUGGGCGAAAGCCUGAUCCAGCCAUGCCGCGUGUGUGAAGAAGGUCUUCGGAUUGUAAAGCACUUUAAGCGAGGAGGAGGCUACCGAGAUUAAUACUCUUGGAUAGUGGACGUUACUCGCAGAAUAAGCACCGGCUAACUCUGUGCCAGCAGCCGCGGUAAUACAGAGGGUGCAAGCGUUAAUCGGAUUUACUGGGCGUAAAGCGCGCGUAGGUGGCCAAUUAAGUCAAAUGUGAAAUCCCCGAGCUUAACUUGGGAAUUGCAUUCGAUACUGGUUGGCUAGAGUAUGGGAGAGGAUGGUAGAAUUCCAGGUGUAGCGGUGAAAUGCGUAGAGAUCUGGAGGAAUACCGAUGGCGAAGGCAGCCAUCUGGCCUAAUACUGACACUGAGGUGCGAAAGCAUGGGGAGCAAACAGGAUUAGAUACCCUUGUAGUCC